rnacentral:snoRNA from 1 species
GUGUGGGAUUGGGUUUAUGAUGGCCCACCCCCAGGCCAGAGCAGACUAGCCCCGAACCGUUGCCCAGCAGCUGUGCCCACGGGCUGAAGGCAUUCAGGCGCGUUACUGCACAAUG